rnacentral:rRNA from 1 species
CGUAGGGGCUAGCGUUAUCCGGAAUUACUGGGCGUAAAGGGUGCGUAGGUGGUUUCUUAAGUCAGAGGUGAAAGGCUACGGCUCAACCGUAGUAAGCCUUUGAAACUGGGAAACUUGAGUGCAGGAGAGGAGAGUGGAAUUCCUAGUGUAGCGGUGAAAUGCGUAGAUAUUAGGAGGAACACCAGUUGCGAAGGCGGCUCUCUGGACUGUAACUGACGCUGAGGCACGAAAGCGUGGGGAGCAAACAGGAUUAGAUACCCCCGUAGUCCCUGAGCGGG